UGUUACAAAAUUUAUUCAUUUAUAAUGUUAAAAAUUGGUAUGGCUGACCCGAUAAUGUUAUGUGGCGUGCCACAUAUACCUCAUGCCGACACACAUGAACCAAUUUUUAACAAUAGAAACGGAUGGAAUUUUAAACA
rfam:Gossypium hirsutum cultivar TM-1 chromosome 20, whole genome shotgun sequence